rnacentral:rRNA from 1 species
CAGUAGCCACGGUAAUACGUAGGGUGCGAGCGUUGUCCGGAAUUACUGGGCGUAAAGAGCUCGUAGGCGGUUUGUCGCGUCGUCUGUGAAAUUCUGCAGCUUAACUGUAGGCGUGCAGGCGAUACGGGCAGACUUGAGUACUACAGGGGAGACUGGAAUUCCUGGUGUAGCGGUGAAAUGCGCAGAUAUCAGGAGGAACACCGGUGGCGAAGGCGGGUCUCUGGGUAGUAACUGACGCUGAGGAGCGAAAGCGUGGGUAGCGAACAGGAUUAGAGACCCCCGUAGUCCCUGUCUCUUAUAC